CUCAGGCUGUUCGUCCAGCACGCUUGUCGGCGGCGCUUCAGAUUCGGGCACUUAUCCGACCCGUCUUGAAACACGGACCAAGGAGUCUAGCGUGUGCGCGAGUCAUUGGGUGUAAAACCUAAAGGCGCAAUGAAAGUGUCAGAGGGUGCUUGCGCUCUCGGUGGGAGGAUGGGCUCCCGGAUGUCACUCCGGUGCCCCGCACUCCCGGGGCGUUUCAUUCUCAAUUUACGAGUCGAGACGCACCAGGAGCGCACACGCUGGUACCCGAAAGAUGGUGAACUAUGCCUGGCCAGGACGAAGCCAGGGGAAACCCUGGUGGAGGUCCGAAGCGAUUCUGACGUGCAAAUCGAUCGUCUGAGCUGGGUAUAGGGGCGAAAGACCAAUCGAACCAUCUAGUAGCUGGUUCCCUCCGAAGUUUCCCUCAGGAUAGCUGGCUCUCGGGAAGAGACGAGUCUCAUCCGGUAGAGCGAAUGAUUAGAGGUGAUGGGGUCGAAACGACUUCAACCUAUUCUCAAACUCCCAAUAGAUGAGAGCCCCGGCUUGCUUGAAAGUGAAGCCGCGGGACUCGGAUCAGAGGUGCCAAGUGGGCCAAUUUUGGUAAGCAGAACUGGCGCUGUGGGAUGAACCAAACGCAGAGUUAAGGCGCCUGAUUCGACGCUCAUCCGAAACCAUGAAAGGCGUUGGUUGCUUAAGACAGCAGGACGGUGGCCAUGGAAGUCGGAAUCCGCUAAGGAGUGUGUAACAACUCACCUGCCGAAGCAACUAGCCCUGAAAAUGGAUGGCGCUGUAGCGUCGUGCCUAUACUCUGCCGUCAACGGCAAAGCGGGCGGCCCCUCACGGGGCGUUGCCGUUAAGCCUUGACGAGUAGGAGGGUCGCGGCGGUGUGCGCGGAAGGGUCUGGGCGUGAGCCCGCCUGGAGCCGCCGCCGGUGCAGAUCUUGGUGGUAGUAGCAAAUACUCCAGCGAGGCCCUGGAGGACUGAUGUGGAGAAGGGUUUCUUGUGAACAGCUGUUGCACAAGAGUCAGUCGAUCCUAAGCCCUAGGAGAAAUCCGAAGCGAUGGUCUGCCGUUAAAUUUC
rnacentral:rRNA from 1 species